UGCGAAGGGGACUAGCGUUGUUCGGAAUCACUGGGCGUAAAGCGCACGUAGGCGGAUGUGUCAGUCAGGGGUGAAAUCCCGGGGCUCAACCUCGGAACUGCCUUUGAUACAGCACGUCUCGAGUCCGGAAGAGGUGGGUGGAAUUCCUAGUGUAGAGGUGAAAUUCGUAGAUAUUAGGAAGAACACCGGUGGCGAAGGCGGCCCACUGGUCCGGUACUGACGCUGAGGUGCGAAAGCGUGGGGAGCGAACAGG
rnacentral:rRNA from 1 species